CCUACGGGUGGCAGCAGUGAGGAAUAUUGGUCAAUGGGCGAGAGCCUGAACCAGCCAAGUCGCGUGAAGGAUGAAGGAUCUAUGGUUUGUAAACUUCUUCUAUAUGGGAAUAAAGUGAGGAACGUGUUCCUUAUUGUACGUACCAUAUGAACAAGCAUCGGCUAACUCCGUGCCAGCAGCCGCGGUAAUACGGAGGAUGCGAGCGUUAUCAGGAUUUAAUGGGUUUAAAGGGUGCGUAGGUGGUUAAUUAAGUCAGCGGUGAAAGUUUGUGGCUCAACCAUAAGAUUGCCGUUGAAACUGGUUGACUUGAGUAUAUGUGAGGUAAGCGGAAUGCGUGGUGUAGCGGUGAAAUGCAUAGAUAUCACGCAGAACUCCGAUUGCGAAGGCAGCUUACUAGACUGUAACUGACACUGAAGCACGAAAGCGUGGGGAGCAAACAGGAUUAGAUACCCCUGUAGUC
rnacentral:rRNA from 1 species